GCCGGUGUGGCGGAACUGGCAGACGCGCGGGACUCAAAAUCCCGUGCCCUUUGCGGGGCGUGUGGGUUCGAUUCCCUCCACCGGCACCA
rnacentral:tRNA from 1 species